rnacentral:rRNA from 1 species
UACGUAGGCAGCAAGCGUUGUUCGGAAUUGCUGGGCGUAAAGAGUGUGUAGGCGGUGCUCCAAGUCUGGUGUGAAAUCUCCCGGCUCAACUGGGAGGGUGCAUUAGAAACUGGAAUGCUAGAGGAUGGGAGAGGUAAGCGGAAUUCCUGGUGUAGCGGUGAAAUGCGUAGAUAUCAGGAGGAACGCCUGUGGUGUAGACAGCUUACUGGACCAUUUCUGACGCUGAGACACGAAAGCGUGGGUAGCAAACAGG